CCGAGUCGGCCAAAGAGGUACCCCCCUGGCUAAGUGGGUUAUGGGAGGCUCGUUCAUCAGGCAUAGUCGCCUCACUACAGUGACAGAGGAUCUUCCUCCCUCGAUGCUUAACUGAUGGGCCGUGAAGACAUCCAACUUUUCCUGAUAUUCCAUCCACCAAGCCUUAAUCUCGCACAGUUGAGGGUCACCAGGGGAUGCUAUCCUCUCGGGGGUUCCGUGUCCCUGCCCACGGCUGGCAAUCCCUACAAUCCCUGAUCUGGACGGGUUGGGUUGGGGCCUCCUCAUAGAGUGAUGCCCCACCUCAGUGCAUCCACUUUAAGUGAGCCUGCCACAAGUGAUGGGUGCAGGGCAAAGCCUUUGGGACCAUUGCAUCUCAAAGAAGGAAGGCCUCCUAGCCCCUCUUUUUAUUUUGGGGUGGUCAGGGAGGUGCAGAGGCAGCGCUCACAGAGGGAUCAGCCCGGGAUCAGCCUUUAGAUGGAUAUGCAUGUGGGCUCCUGGAACUUUGAGCCUCUCUGAGGACCACCGACUGCCCUACUCAGCGAAUGAGCUCAGAAGGCUGGGGUGGACAUAGUAGGACUCUUGAGACGAGGAGGCUUGGUAGUGACAAGCAGUAGUGGAGGUAAAUUUACCAUUGGUCUGGCAAGAACAGUGGUGCCUGUCUUAGGGGAGCAGCUAUGGGCAUCUCCAGCCAACUGCUGCCAUUUUUGGUUGAGGUUACUCUGGAUGAUGAGCGUAUAAUGUGAAUGAGGCUGAAGCACACACUGGGCUUCAUGUCUCUUGUUGCAGUGUACACUCCUACCGAGAUGUGUUAGACUGAAGAGAAAAUAAGACACAAUCAUUGUCUUGGGUGACUUCACUGUGACUACUGGCACUGACAGAGAUGGCCAGGUUGCCACCUUGAGCUCACAAAAAUAAGGAACGCAACACCUCACUCUCCAAUACGGAACAAAUCUGUAUUUUAAGGAACGGGUGAUAACUAUAAAUUUCUCUAGCCUGCCAUGACUGACAGCCGCUGCUGGUGGAGGCAGGAGGAAGGGGAGGAAUGUUACAUCCCGUACUUUACACACAUUUUAGGAAGACCCUUGACAAAUACAUAAUAUUACAGAUUGGUUUUGUGACUGACUGAAAAGUGCACUUAUAAAAUUUUAAAAUACUGAGUUUUAUCUGCUUGAUCAUUCAGACAGCCAAAUAUGGAACAAAUGGCAUUCCGUUUUAGCUCAAAACAGGAUGCAACAUCUCACUCAAAUACAGAAUGAAACCAUGUUUUAAGGAACGGGUGGCAACCCUAGAGACAGCAUGAAGUUGUGUUGGUCCUCAUGGCUCUGGCACCAGGAACACCGACAGCUCUCUGCUCCUGAAUGUUACAAGAUCCAGCAGGUUGAGCAUUGUGGGUUCUUGUUACCAGAGACCAGAGCUGGUCUUGGUAUAGUGAUGCCGAAGGGGUAGCUAAGGAGACUGACCACAUCCCCUAAGUACUCAUUGGAGGAUCCUCUAGAACUGCUGAGUUCUUUGGAACUGAUCACAGGCUUGUUGUUGCAACACUCAAGCUUCAUGUCAGGUCAAGAAGAAUCUCAAGAUGCAACAAUACUGUGUUCUUGAGAGGCUGAAAGACCUGACAUUUGCUCAGGAGUAUGCAGACAGCCUCAAAUUGGUUCAAUGUCCUCGGCACCUUUGAGGACCCUGUAGAACAGUGGGACACCUUCAAAUGUGAGACUCUUCAAGCUGCCAAGGAGUGCAUUGAAGAGUGCCCGAGAUCUGGGAGUGGUUUUUCCUCAGCAGAGACACUGGAGAAUAUUGAGGAGAGUCGCCCUGACAGGCUUGCUGAGAAUCAGGACCAAUAUAGGGGUCUGUGGCAUAGAACUAGAGCUCUCCUGAGGAGAGACAAAGAGAGGCAUGUCAGGGGUCUUGUUAUGGAUGUCAAGGACCAUUUCAAUAUGAAUGACCUCCAACCUGCUUACCAAGCCCUGAAGAAGCUCUGCUCUGAGCCACCCUCUCAGGUGAGCGCUAUCCAAACAGCAGACAGCUGCCUUGUGUCGGAUAUGGAAGGGCCAAGGGCUCACUGGGCUGAGUACUUUGCUUCCCAAGGCAUCACCUCCACCUCCCGACACAUCCUCCGCCUCCACUCUGAAGAUUAGUUUCCCUUCACCACUUAAAGCCAGUCCACACAUGCCAGCUGUGUCACAUUUUCAAGGUAGUAUUAAAGGUCUUAUUCAAGUUAUUAUUAACUUUAUUUCAUUUAUUACACGUUUUGUUUACCAGUAUAUAUAGUCUGUAUUAUUCCUGAACGCCCAUUGCUGCAUGCUCACCCUACACACACACACUACACUGCUGUACAAUCUUGUAUAUCUUCACACUGCACACCUGUUUCUUCAUGUUCACCCAACACACACACACAAUGCUGUACAAUCUUGCAUAUCUUCACACUGCACACCAAUUUCUUCAUCUUCACCCUUCACACACUAUACUACUGUACAAUCUUGUAUAUGUACACACGCUACUUACAAAGCACUGCUUGCACCUGAGCCAGUUGGUAAGUAGGGGAAGCUCUGUGCUUAUGAAGAGAAAUUGAGCUAACAGUUAAUGUCCCAACUCAGUGUUGUGGUAAACGGUCUUAUGUAGCUUGUGUUCUCUUGGCUCGACAGUGCUUCUGCGGCACUCCCAAGUGUGGCGGAGAAGACUGCAGAGCAAGUUGUAGCCGCCCUGCAAGCUCUCCCGCACUAAGAGAUGCCACUCAUUAACAACUCAAAAACCGAUAACAACUUCAAAACUUUCUUUCAGUAAAGGUAAAGUUUGGGACGCGCUAUACCUGUGUGCGGCUCGGUACUCGCCACCAUCACACUGGCCCGUGAGCUUGCGCUGGGCAAGAGCUCAUGACCCAGGGACAGAGGCCAGGUGUGACAUGUGGGUUACUACAGUUUACCUCCCUACAGCACCCCCAAACCUACCCAUGAAGGUGGAAAAAGUCUAUUAGUGCUACGUAGCCAUAUUUAAUAUAUACAGAACAUUUUAUGCACAUUUUCAAAAAGUAAAUAGCUGACAUAUGAGAUUGAUGUGCUGGGGAGUCGCAGGACCCACACAAAUGGACUUCUUGAUUGUGUUUAACUAUAAUCAUGCAACCACCCACCACGCAGGCAACAACACUUUUUUUGCCCUUUGUUAUGACCCACAAACCUCAGUUUUUAUUAUUUUUUCUUGGUCUGUUUGUCACACUGUUAUCAACAAAGAAAACUAAUAUGUUCGAAGCAGUCAUUAACUACACGUGGUUUACAGAAAGCUGGUAAGGAACGGCGCCUGACUGAUGCUGGAACUGACCUCGAGGGAGUGGCCGAGGAGGGACAGCCUGUGGGGUGGGCAAAGGAACCCUUUUGCCUGAGCUCCAACUGUGUCAGACUUCAAAGUGCACUGAUGGCAACCUCUUCAAUCCAGUCAUCCCAGACUCCCGUGCAGUGUCCCCCUCAGCCCUGACGAGGCAGCACACCCAGGUGGUCCCUCGGCAGUCCCCACACCGCCCUCAGCACCACAGAGCCACCAGCCAUGUCAGAGGUCCUGCCCUGGUGACCUGCCUCCCCAGGACUGUGCAGACUCCCCCCACCAGGACGGGUGGCGGUGGUGACUGUUCACCCCACUGGGAGGUGCAGGACAGCCGGGGUGUUCUGGCAGCCUCCAUUCCCCAGGGAUCUUCUCACCUGGCAUGACUGGCCUUCCAGCAGUGCAACCUGAAGAAAGGGAAACAUUACACUAUUUUGUUCCUCACAGAAUAAAGCAUCAUGACA